AACGAACGCUGGCGGCAGGCCUAACACAUGCAAGUCGAACGCACCGCAAGGUGAGUGGCGCACGGGUGAGUAACACGUGGGAAUGUACCCAUUGGUUCGGAAUAACGUUUGGAAACGCACGCUAAUACCGGAUGAGCCCUGCGGGGGAAAGAUUUAUCGCCAAAGGAGCAGCCCGCGUCUGAUUAGGUAGUUGGUGGGGUAAAGGCCUACCAAGCCGACGAUCAGUAGCUGGUCUGAGAGGAUGAUCAGCCACACUGGGACUGAGACACGGCCCAGACUCCUACGGGAGGCAGCAGUGGGGAAUAUUGGACAAUGGGCGCAAGCCUGAUCCAGCCAUGCCGCGUGAGUGAUGAAGGCCUUCGGGUUGUAAAGCUCUUUCGCACACGACGAUGAUGACGGUAGUGUGAGAAGAAGCCCCGGCUAACUUCGUGCCAGCCGCCGCAGUAACAC
rnacentral:rRNA from 1 species